rnacentral:tRNA from 1 species
AUUUAUAUAGUUUAUAUAAAAACAUCUCAUUUUCAAUGGGAAAUUAGGAUAAAUGAUCCUUAUAAAUA